CAACCCUCAAGCUCUGCUUGGUGUUGGGCCACUGCCCGGAAGGGCAGGCCUUAAAAUCAGUGGCGGUGCCAUCUGGCUUCAAGCGUAGUAAUAUCUUUCGCUCAGGAGCUCCAGGUGCGUGCUGGCCAGCAACUCCUUAUAUUUUUCUAA
rnacentral:misc_RNA from 1 species